rnacentral:rRNA from 1 species
GCGCGGCGAUAGCACGUUGAACGCACCAGAUUCCAAUAGAUCACUGAAGUUAAGCAACGCUUUGCAUGGUCGGUAUCCGGAUGGGUGACUAUUGAGGAAAUUGCGUACUAAGUACU